rnacentral:lncRNA from 1 species
CAGACCUGCGGUUACUGCCACAGGCCUCAGCAGGGCCUGGUGACGAGCUCUGCACAGCCGGCCGGGAAGUGUCACUUUCCCGGAUGAGGAGAGGAAACAUGUUUCUUGCAAAUGGGCUGUGCGCUUGUGGAAGAGCUCCUCUGCACUGCGCUUCCUCCGCUCCCAAGGGCCCCAUCAAAAUGGGGCUGGGGUAACAGCAGCCCCAGACAGCCCACCCUGCAACAACCAGGAGAAGAACGCGCCCGAAAGGGAAGCGGGAGGACACGACACCGCAGGCUGCUUGUGGUGGGAUGAUGGACCAUGCGGGCUGGAUCACUAAAGGCGCACAUUAGCCCAAGCGGAGCCUCUGACACACUCAGGGAGGUCAGAACCAGGAGAGGAGAAAAGCCGGAGUGUCCACAGUGACCGUCAGGAAGAGGGGCUGCGAGGCACCCUUGUGAUGCUGUCCCCAGGCUCUCUGGGCCUCUGUGGAUUGCGACAUCACCUCAUGAUUCUCUAGUGCAACCGAUAAGCACAGGUGAGGGCUGGCUCUGUGAGGCUCCAGGGAGCAGAGUCUGCAGAAUAGCUGGCCUUUUUUCUGGGCAGGGAAGGGCAGCCCCAGCAACGCUGGGAGAGGCUGCAGCUAGGCCUAGACAAGGACCUUCUAUAAAGCAGCACUGAUAUAAAUGCUGGCACUCAGAAAACUUCUGAGGGGCCAGUCCUAGAAAGCAGUCUCUAGACAGAGAUGUGGGAUGUGGCUGCCCUGUGCCAACCUCGCCACGCGGCCUCUAGAUGGAGAGGUGGGAUGUGGC